AAGGGAUGGGGCCGCAUUCCUGGAACACCUGAGGACAGGUCGCCCGGGCACCCGACACUUCCUCGUAUUACUCACCCAGCGUAGGACAUGGGGAGGAGAUUCAUCUCUAGAACAUUCCCAAAAUGCUUAUUCAAAAUCAUUCGUAAGAUAAGGGAUUUUUUAAAGACUAAUAUAGAGUAGUUCUAGUUUACAGAAAAAUUGAGAAAUUACAGAGAUAUGCCAUAUACACUUUGCUCCUACACAUGCAUAACCCCCCACCAUUAUUAACAUCCCCCCCCGCAGAGUGGUACAUGUGUUACGAUUGAUGAACCUGCAUUGACACAUCAUCAUCGCUCAAAGUCCAUAGUUACCUCAGGGUUCACUCAGGUAGUUGUAUACUCCUCGAGUUAGGACAAAUGUGUAAUGGCAAGUAUCCAUCAUUAUAGUAUCCUACAGAGUAUUUCCACUGCCCUGAAAUUCUUCUGUGGGAUAAUUUUUGUUUUUAUUUUUUGUUUUUUUAGAGAUGGGGUCUCACUAUAUUGCCCAGACUGGAGUGCAGUGGCUGUUCGCAGGCGCAAUCAUGGCUCACUGCAGCCUCGAACUCCUCGGCCCAAGCUAUCCACCUGCCUCAGCCUCUGGAGUAGCUGAGACUACAGGCACUAGGUCUUUGGUUACUUUUUAAACUCUUUUUUCCACUUUUUGGUAAUAAGAUAUUUAAAAAUCCAACGGACUCUCCAGACAACUCUCAAAGAAAGAGAUCUCUAGAGUUCUAGGUUACUGGAAGGACGUUAGAAGAAAGUAAUGAAAUCAGAUAGGAUUAUUUUGUGGUAAUACUCAAUAAUUCUAAUGGAUUUAAGAGCAAGGAAUCGCUUGGGAGCAUUGUUAAUAGUAUCUCACUGUCUGGUUAACCACACAUGACACGGCAUAAAGCAUAUUUCUCUAGCAAGUAGAAGAGUAUGACAGAGCAGCGAAAAGUACCUUUUAACCUGAAGACCAACGUUCUAUACCCUAAAAACUAUGAUGCUGCUUGAUGUGGCCCAGCUAUGUUUUUAACAUAACACCACAUUUUCCCUAAAUGAUCUUACAGUGGAGCCCCCUGAAGGGAAGGAGAGGGACCUGGAGCCCCAUUUACUUUAUUUCCUUCAAGAGUGUCCAGAGGAGAUCCUUGAAAUGAAGACUGCCACUGGGUGAGCCUAAUCAACUGGUUAAAAUAGCAAGAUACAAUAAGAACAGAAACUCUUUGAGAGAUUGACAACUAAAAAAUGAUAAGGAAGAGACAUCAUAGAUCUCUCUUUCUGCAUGCAUGCACAGAAGAAAGUCCAUAUUAGGACACAGUGAAAAGAUGGCCAUCUACAAGCCAGGAAGAGAGGUCUUAUCAGACACCAACGCUGAUGGCACCUGGAUCUUGUACUUCUAGCCUCCAGAACUGUAGAAGAUAUGAUCAGCUAAACUACUUUUCACAGCCUCCAUGGCAGCUGAACAUGAAACUUCUAGAAAGGCUUCUUAAGAGAAGCAUAGCCAGAUUGCAUGAACUCUUUUUUACUUUUGUCCCUUUCCCUUGCUUCUUACCUGGAGCUCAAACACAGUGGCUGGAGCUCCAGCAACCACCUUGGACCAUAAGAACACCUUAAAGAUAGAAGCAUGCUACAAAUUACGUAGUAGGAAUGUAAGAAGAGGCUGGGUCUCUGGAGGAUAGGAGACAGACAUGUGCACAUACACACCGCGAAAAAAGACCAGGUGAGGACACAGUGAGAAAGUGACCAUGUGUGAGCCGAGGAGAGACCACAGACGGAGCCAGCCAACCCUGUGGAUACCUUGAUCUUGGACUUCUAGCCUCCAGAACGGGAACAUCAUGCGCACGGAUGAUCAAAGGUCAGUUCCUGGUCAACAUAAGUAAACAAGCCUGUUUAAGGAAAUUGUCCUUUUCACCUAAAUUUUUGAAUAUCUUGGCAUGAGAGCCCAAGUAGAGUGCAGAAUCACCUGGGUUCAGACGAUUCUCGUGCCUCAGCCUCCGGAGUAGCUGGGAUUACAGGUAAUUUACAUCGACUGCAUCUGUGUGGUGAAAAUAUAGUAUAAUGGGGUGCUGCUGUGAAUCUCCUUCCAAUUCUGCAUUCUGUGAUAUCAUAGUGGUAACUUGAAAUCCACCAUGGUGGGGACAUUUACACAAUAACUGGCAAAUGCUACAAGGCUGGGCUUUUUCAGUUUUGUUGAUUGUCUGGACAUAAAAAAGUAAUACAGAAAAUGUUACCAAUACAAGCAUUUGGGAAAAAUAAACUAAAACCUUUUGUGAAAAACAAUAGGUUUUAUGGAAUUUAC